GAUGAACGCUGGCGGCGUGCUUAACACAUGCAAGUCGAACGUGAGGGUGUAGCAAUAUGCCUGAAAGUGGCGAACGAGUGAGUAACACGUAGAUGACCUGCCCUGGAGUGGGGGAUAACCAUUGGAAACGGUGGCUAAUACCGCAUACAUCCAGAAGAUUGGGAAAUUUUCUGGGGAAAGCUCUGGUGCUCUGGGAGGGGUCUGCGUCCGAUUAGCUAGUUGGUGAGGUAAAGGCUCACCAAGGCGACGAUCGGUAGCUGGUCUGAGAGGACGAUCAGCCACACGGGAACUGAGACACGGUCCCGACUCCUACGGGGGGCAGCAGUGAGGAAUAUUGGGCAAUGGGCGAGAGCCUGACCCAGCAACGCCGCGUGGAGGAAGACGGCCUUCGGGUUGUAAACUCCUUUUGACAGGGAAGAGAGAGGACGGUACCUGUCGAAUAAGUCACGGCUAACUACGUGCCAGCCGCCGCCGUAAUAC
rnacentral:rRNA from 1 species